UAUGACGGGUAUCCGGCCUGAGAGGGUGAUCGGACACACUGGAACUGAGACACGGUCCAGACUCCUACGGGAGGCAGCAGUAGGGAAUAUUGCUCAAUGGGCGAAAGCCUGAAGCAGCAACGCCGCGUGGAGGAUGAAGGUUUUAGGAUUGUAAACUCCUUUUGUUAGAGAAGAUUAUGACGGUAUCUAACGAAUAAGCACCGGCUAACUCCGUGCCAGCAGCCGCGGUAAUACGGAGGGUGCAAGCGUCACUCGGAAUCACUGGGCGUAAAGAGUGCGUAGGCGGGAAGGUAAGUCAGAUGUGAAAUCCUGUAGCUUAACUACAGAACUGCAUUUGAAACUACUUUUCUAGAGUGUGGGAGAGGUAGGUGGAAU
rnacentral:rRNA from 1 species